GGUCUAGGGGCUUUAAGACUAUUACAAGGUGAUAGACGCGGGGCUUUGGGCGUUAUCAAUUGGACGAAUUCCUGGGAACUGCGGAUAUUGCUCGCCACAGUUUCUUAUCAGUUAAUUGCAUUCUUCGAUGUGCUGGGAGUCAGCUUGCACAAGUUAAGUCCUUGAGGAAGGGGCUGCCAGUGAAAGAGCCAAGAUGGAGUAUGUCUGGCUCUCGUAGCUAAGGGAGAGUCAAUUCAGGUGGAAACAAGGCUAGGUGAUUAAAAGAAAGGGAGAGUCUAAAAACAGGGUUAGUAAAAACAAGGUUGGGCAUUACAUUCCUCAUUGUGUUUUUGGGGAAUCAAAUCGUUGAUUCUUUAGUUAUAACAAGGGGUUUAUAUUGAGUUUUAAGAUACAUAAGUUUGACAGAAGCUAUGUGUUGUUUUACAAAAUUAAUAAACUAAUUUAAUAUACAAGGUCCAAAAAUUAGACUUAAUACUAGGAUGGGGAGGGGGUCUGGCUAACUUAGUAAUUAGAAUAGUUAGCUCUGGGUUCUAGUUGAACAUGCUUUGAUACUAGGGGAUGUUAUUUUCUUGUUCUUGUUGGCGCUUAUCUAGAUUUUCUUGCACUUUCUGGAGUGUAUCUUUUAUGACUAAGAAUGGUGGAGGAACAGUUAAAUCAACUUUGUCAGGGUGUUUCUGGAACAUAGGGUUACUUAGAUCAGUUAAAGGCCUGAUUGGCUUGGGUGGGCUUUAUGAGACUAGGGUUUUUUUGGAUAGUGAACAUAGACUUAACAUUAAAUCCUGGGAUAUAGAAUCUUAAUCUUCAUGACAUGCCAUGAUACUAUUGAGUUGAAUUAAGGUCAUGGACAGCUAUAGUAAGAGGAUUACAAUUUUUCUAGUACAUAAUUUAGGAUGAGAAGCACGACUUAUGGAAAGAGUUGAAGAUCUGGUUGAUCUUUUAGAGUAGGUGGCUAAAGUUACACGUGUCUAAUCAGGGCAGAAAAACUGAUAAGUAUCUUGACAGCUAGCAUCAGGGUGAUUUCUAGGACAGAGGUAAAAGUCAAUAUUUUGGAGUCUUUUUUCUGCACUUUUGGAGCUUCUACACUUAGUUUGGCUCUUGGAGUGUCUGAAUCUUGCUGCAAGGUUGACACUUCCUGCUCCUGGGACUGGCAGAUUGUGUUGUUUUUCGUGGGUAUGGACUGGCUUUGGGAAUAGUACAAAUAAAUCAACUGCAAAGGAGACUUCCUUGGAGGUACUGGCCUUCUAAGUGGUGUUUGCAAAUACACGUCCUGUUGUGAAAGAGGUGAGGAGAAAGGAGUAGGAAGGUACAGAGGACGUAACUGGCAAAAACAAAUAAGUGAGGUAGUAAAAAGAAUGUAUCUAAUGGCUUCACCUGACUUAGGCGCAGUUUUAAGGGGCCUGACUUAGGCCUGGGGACUUAUGUUUUUAGUUGGGCUCUGUUGGCCUUUUUGAUGCGGGAGUGAUGAAUCUAGGCAGGAAUGCCAUCUACUUUCAGAGCAGCUGGCGUCGUGAGGAUGACGGUGUGAGGUCUUUUCUAAGCAGGAGUGAGUCUUUCUUUUUGGAACUUUUUAACAAACGCUAGGUCUCCUGGCUGGAAUGAAUGGCAGGACUUUUUCUGGUCAGGAACUGGAUUGGGAUGGGCUCCUCGAACAAGUGGCAGGAUGAUCUCUUGUACCAGUUGGAGAGACUAUAGGUACUGUAAUAAAUUAGUUUGUGAUAUUUCUGCUAAUUUGGCAUCCCUUAGCUUAGGCAAGAUAGGCAGCGCCUUCUUAUACAUGAUUUCAAAGGGUGAGAACUUAGCCUGGUAAGGGGUGCACCUUACUUUAAGUAGGGCUAAAGGAAGGAGACUUACUUAAUUUACACCGGUUUUUAAGAUUAAUUUUGUAGGAGUGUUUUUUAGGGUGUGGUUCACGCUUUCUACUUGCCUGGAACUCUGGGGCUGAUAGAGCUCCAGGCAAUAGAGGCACAAUGGAGCUUCUAUUGAACGUUUAACGCCUUACUGACUGACUGAGCUAUAGGCGAGGUGAAGGCUGCUCUAUUAUCAGACUUUAUGGCAGCAGGCAGCCUAUAUUGAGGGAUGAUUUCAUUGCGUAAAAACUUAACUACUGUGUUGGUGGUUUCGUUUUCGGUAGCAAAUGCCUUAGUCUAUCUGGAGAAGGUGUCUACUAGUACUAGAAGGUAUUUGUACUUAGCCUGGUGUGGUUUGACUUCUGUAAAGUCAAUUUCUUACUUUUUUCUCGGCGAGUUUUUUCAGAGACAGUGGCCUGGGCUGGGUUUAGGACUUUGUUUGGCAUUUACUUGGGUGCAGGUUGUGCACUGGAGAGCGGCUUAAUCUGAUAGGCUUUGAAGACGGGGGAUCUUAAAAUGGCUCCGGAGGAGCUGAGGUAGCUUUGCUCUUUUUAAGUGGGUGGUAGACUGCAGGUGACUGAUUAAAGUUUCUUUAAGAGUUCAGGAUAUGAAGAUUCUAGAGUCAGGAAGAAUCUACUAACUUUCCUGAUUUUUAUUGGCUCUGAGAUCUGAAGCCAGUUUUUUUGUUGUUGUUGUUGUUGAGUAUACGGGAUUGUCAGGCAGAUCUGGCUGAGGAAAGGAGACUGUGGGCAGCAAGUUUAGAGGCGUGACUGAAAGUUGCGCUGCGACCUGAGCUGCUGAAUCAGCUUUCUAGUUACUAUGGGCAAAGCCGUGUUUUCUUUUUGAUGUCCUUUGCAGUGGAUCACAGCUAUCUGCUGAGGGUUUAAGGAGUGAGAACAGAGCCAAGUCCUGGAGACGGUGAACUUGCUGUCGCACCAGAAAACGAGAUGUGCAGGAUAGGGGGCAGGGACAAGGCGGAAAAGGACUACUCGGAUCAUUUUUAAGAUGGGAGAGUAGCCACAGAGGAGCAGAGUAAGAAUCUAAACGAGGUAAAGCAGUACGGGCGUACAUUUCUUUACACGGUGUUCUACUGAAGGGCACAGGAAAAGUUACAGAAUGACAAGAGAGACAGACAAGGGGAGGGGCUCCUGUGAUGGGAUCAGUCAGAUGCCUGCCUGGCCGCUCCCCCUGAGGGGACUUGGGCUCCUCUUAACAUUGGCAGGCUGGUAUAAACUUCCGGCUCAGAUCAAGCUAUGCCUGAUGCUGCCUUAAGCCUUAUGAGGUCGCCACGGAACCGCAGAAACUCCUGGAGGGCAGAGCUGUGUCUGCCAUCUUCAUCAUUGCAUUACCACCACCAAGCACAGUGCCUGGCACAAAAGAGUUGCUCAAUAAAUAAAUCAGGAUGAAUGGAUAAAUACAUGGAUAGGCACUUUGAGCUACAGAUGAGUUUAAAUACUUUGUGUUUUUCUUAGUCAAACAUGUGCAAUUAAGCAUGUGAUAAAUGAUAUGAUGACCACA
rnacentral:lncRNA from 1 species